GUAGAUUUCUACAACAAUUUGUUACUAGAUUACUUAUACUAGGACAUUAGUUGUUGAUACGAAAUCAAAAUUUACAACAUGCAGCAUAAUACACUAGGUUAACAUGAAAGGUAUAGUACACAUUUUGCUUACAGGAGAGCAGAAGGUCGUGAAAGUCAACACAUACAUCGCACAUGGUUUUCUUCCUUUAGCCUCUGAAAAGGCUUUUAAUCACGUCAAGUUCAUCACUCAACUUCACCACCAUCCAUCGCAAAAUUCGGAGGAGAGCAGUAAAAGAAUACAGUGCUGGUAGCGCCAGUUGUUCAGAAGUAUGAUAAACAAUCUUGAAAGGAGCAUAACAUCUUGUGCGAUUUCAUAGAAUAAAUCUUUGUGUGAAGAUAUUGACGUGUGUAUUGGGUUAUAGGGUGUCGAUAAGUGCCAUACGAACAAGAGUAAAUAUUAAUAAAUAAUUGAAAUGGGUAGCACGGAUAAAGCUGAGAUCACGGGUUUUAUAUGCAGACUUUGCAGUAAGAUGAACCGUUUCGUGAUCCACAUAUACGGUGAAGAGGGUGAGAGAAUGAAACUUGCUGAGAAAAUAAAUGCUUAUCUUCCAAUUACGUCAAACGAAGGUUAACUACUCAGAAUAAAUCAUCAACAGUUGCAUCAACCUCUACACAAACUGCUGAUACUGUACCAACAUCUAGCCCACCUCCUUGUUAACAUAUAGAAUUAAAAGCAUAAUUUCUCGCUCAAUAUUAUUAAACAUUUUCUGUAUAUCUUAUUUGUAUUGUUAUUUUAGUAAUUUAUUACUAGGGAAACAAAUUUUUUUUGUUAAAUGAAAAGAUAUAUAUAUAAUUGAUCAAUUGAUUCAGCAAUCUAUAGAAUUAUCUUUAAAAAUUUUAUAAAAUAUUUUCUUCUUAAAAUAUGUUGGUAAAUGUUUGUGAUGUGCAAAUUUAAUUUACUGUAUAAACUUUUUUAUUUUUUACACCAGAUAUUACAGAUAUUUUUUAUUGAUACUAUAAUAUAAAAUAUAUGAAUAAUUAUAUUUUGUUUGUAUUUCACAUUUCCAAAAAAAUUGGAAUUUUUUUUUCUUGACUAGUAAUCAGCAAUAAUAAAGUUAUAGAUAUGUUUAUGUAAAUGAUAUAUCCAAUGAAUAUUUUUAGGCAUGUUUAAUAAUGUUCAAAUUAUUGAAUUAAUAUUUUAUUUGAUGUAUCUUGUAUAGUUUUUAUUAAUAGAAAUUUUUAAACAUCUUUUAAUACUCUAGGAUAAUAUUGUUUCUUUAACAGAUCUAUACUACUGGUGUACAAAGAUAAAUAGAUAGAUAUGUCAAAGUGAUUUCUUAGAAUAUUAAAUGAUGUUAUAUUAUAUAAUUGAAUGUAAAAAUAAGAAAUUUAGUUGGCAAAGUUUUUAAUAAUAUUGUGUAUUAGAUAUAUACAAGAUUGUCAAUACUAAUGUACAUUAAACCAAUCAUGUUACUAUUCAUCCUUUACUAUUAAAUAUCAAUAGUUUUAAUAUGUCAACUUUUAUAUAUAAUAUGGUACAAAGUAUAAUGAAAAAGUAUCUGCAUAAUUAUAUUAUAUUAACAUAUAUUAUUCCACAGAGUUUAACAAAAUUUGAAU
rnacentral:misc_RNA from 1 species